AGAGCGGGCACGGCCCGCGAUCGCAGCAGCGCGGACUACGAGUCCAGGGUUAAUAGAGCGGGCACGGCCCGCGAUCGCAGCAGCGCGGACUACGAGUCCAGGGUUAAUAGAGCGGGCACGGCCCGCGAUCGCAGCAGCGCGGACUACGAGUCCAGGUUAAUAGAGCGGGCACGGCCCGCGAUCGCAGCAGCGCGGACUACGAGUCCAGUGGGUAUUUAGAGCGGGCACGGCCCGCGACUGCAGCAGCGCGGACUACGAGUCCAGUGGGUAUUUAGAGCGGGCACGGCCCGCGAUCGCAGCAGCGCGGACUACGAGUCCAGGGUUAAUAGAGCGGGCACGGCCCGUGAUCGCAGCAGCGCGGACUACGAGUCCAGUGGGUAUUAGGGCGGGCACGGCCCGAGAAUUAAACUUUCCAUUAUCAUUGACUGCUAUAACAUUUUACUGAUGAUUGUUAUUAGACACCUUGUAAGUCAUGAUGCGAACAAAGCAAAUAUAACAGGGGAAGCGAAAUUAAUGUCAAAACAAAUGUCAGGAAGCACCAAAUGCAGAACCAAGGACAGACUGUCCUUGGAGAACACCCCCAAAACCAAAGGACCAGGGAAAUUAACAUCAGCACAAACCAUAAGACAUAAAGCAACGACAAACCGGAUCGGAUACUUAACAUUGAGGCACGGAAUUUGCACAGCAGUACAUCAAAGCAACCCGUGAUCGGUAAAUGCGCAAAACUUCGGCCACUAAAAAAGUUCUAAGGCAAUAGCAACCGCUGCCCACGGCGUUGAUUAAUAUGUUAAAACACGGAAUCGUAAAAGUAGAAUUUCUGCAAGAAAGGUACAUGCCAAUCAUGGAACAAAACAUAGCACAGGCAACACAAAAUUAACCCAAUAAAAGGCAGCAAAUCACCAGAAUUAGACCAGGUACGGAGUCAGUGCAGUCCACGAAUCACGUCAUCGAGAACCUGUGCAGUACUGUACAUACAAGCAGCAUCGGACACGAGUCCAAUCAAGCAGCGGAGCGGGCACGGCCUGAGACAAUAAACAACGCGGACAGCGAGUACAGUAAAGCAUUAGAGCGGGCACGGCCCGAGACAAUAAACAACGCGAACUGCGAGUACGGUAAAGCAUUAGAGCUGGCACGGCCCGAGAUAAUAAACCACGCGGACUGCGAGCCAGUAAAGCAUUAGAGCGGGCACGGCCCGAGAUAACAAACAGCGCGGACUGCGAGUACAGUAAAGCAUUAGAGCUGGCACGGCCCGAGAUAAUAAACCACGCGGACUGCGAGUACGGUAAAGCAUUAGAGCGGGCACGGCCCGAGAUUAUAAACGAUGCGGACUGCGAGUAUAGCAAACCAUUAAAGCGGGCACGGCCCGAGAUAAGAAACCGCGCAGACUGCGAGCCAUUAAAGCAUUACAGAGCGGGCACGGCCCGAGAUUAUGAACAACGCGAACUGAGAGUACGGUAAAGCAUUAGAGCGGGCACAGCCCGAGAUAAUAAACGAUGCGGACUGCGCGUACAGUAACCAGCAGAGCGGGCACGGCCUGAGAUAAUAAACAACGCGGACUGCGAGUACAGUAAACCAUUAGAGCGGGCGCGGCCCGAGAUAAUAAACAACGCGGACUGCGAGUACAGUAAACCAUUAGAGCGGGCACGGCCCGAGAUAAUAAACAACACGGACUGCGAGUACAGUAAACCAUUAGAGCGGGCACGGCCCGAGAUAAGAAACAACGCGGGCUGCGAGUA